UAUAAUUGGGCUUGGUUUCUUCUUUGUUCUCUCUAUAGGCACACACAUAUAUGCGUAUACUCACAAAUGUAUACCAAUAGUUCCACGGCGGGGAUGGGCUGCGCGGUGAGGCCGUCAUUGGAGGACCACGGUGGACUAAUUUGAGGGAGUUCUAAAUGAGGGUUUCGUGGGUGAUGCCGAAGAUAAGGAAUUUAGAUUUGGGCUUGGUGGAUGAGAGGCAGUGGCCGUAGAGGGAGAGAGAGAGAGAGAGACAGGGAGGAAAGAUCGGUACGGCGAGAAAGGAGAGAAAGGGGAGGGAAGGAUUAUAGUAAAAAAAACAAAGGCUAAUUUGGUAAUUUCAUUUUCUCAUAGCAGGGUAAUAUUGUCUUUUAAAAUUUCCAUUCACUUCUGC
rnacentral:lncRNA from 1 species